AUGAGAAACCUGCGCGUGCACCCCUCGCCUUCCUCUGUUCUAGGCCUCCCCGUCUUGCCUCACUCCUCUCCGGCAGUCAUUGAUUUCGACAGGAAAUAUGCAAGGAGGAUGGGGAAUAACUGCUUGUACGGGUUGUGGGCAUGCUCGGACCAGGAGGAGACAAAAGUUGUUGCGGCUACCAUGCGCAAUGAAGGAUGGAUACGAUGGUCAGCGGGAUGGGAUGCAGCGGCUCGCAGGGGCAGCGCCUUCGGCGGCAGGCGCUGGGGCAAUGAAUUCUACUUGUGCGUUGGAGUCAGUUGCAUGCUAACUGGACAAUGCGUUAGCUUGUUCUGUACUUACUCUGUAGCUACCAAUGAUCAAAGUUGGAAGCUGAAUGUGUACUGCUCUAAAUUGCUUAAGCGAUCAGGUGUCCUGCUAUAUGGACCUCCAGGCACUGGGAAGACAUUACUUGUGAAAGCAGUAGCAACUGAGUGCUCAUUAAACUUUCUUAGCGUAAAAGGUCCAGAACUGAUAAACAUGUAUGUUGGAGAGUCAGAGAGGAAUAUCAGGGAGAUCUUUUAG
rnacentral:rRNA from 1 species